AUGGGGAUAGAACAGCAUAAAUGUCUCAAGCAGACAUCAGCAUCAUCAUAACGUGCUAUUCGCCAUCAUGAAACUUGCAAUCUUUAUCGUAAUCUUCGCCGCGCUGUUAGCUUUAGCGUACUGUCAUGGAGGAGUUAAUGAAGAGUGCGGGGGGUUCCCAGUUCCGAGUUCGCGUUGCUACGAAACUUGCACUUAUGGUGUCGAUGAAAAAGGAACCUGCGACGAAGGAUUAAUAUGCUGUUUGGUUGUGUAAUGUGUUAUUGUAUCUCAUAUUGAUUUCUUUCUUUAUAUAGGUAAAUGACUAAGUUAAUUAUAUCUAUAGGUUAAACUAAAUGUUAUGAACAUACCCAAAGUUUUGGCUCACGUCAGUCUCAGAUAUACGAUUCCACAAACUCUUUGGAAAGAUUUUCUGGAUGUCAGCUUUUUUUCCUCCAAUUAUCUAAACAUGAAAUUUGCAGGGAAUGGAGUUAAAUACCAAGGCUCCUUACAGGACUUAGCUACAGCAGUCGAAAAGUGGUUAGCCAGAUUAUCACCAACCACGGGUUUCCUUUAUCCGCGGGAGGAUUCAACCCUUUUUGUGUUUCUUAGAACCACCACCUUUUUUGCAUCCAGGAACAUUCGUGACAUUUGUUUCGUCUUAACUAUAAGUAUUAAAAUCUUCGACGUCAUUUGCUUCAUUAAUAUUUGUGAAAAAAAAAUAUAGCUUCACCGUCGACAGAGGCUCUGGACUGUUUUGUUUGAUGCAAGACGAUUGGAUUUUGAGAAACGCAUUAGAGGAGUGUUGUCUUUAAAAAUCCGAACUGCUAUUCCUUUACAACCCCUUGAAGUGUCUGGAACGUCUAGGAAGUUCAGUGCGCUUGAAGGCUUUGGAUGGUUUUGUUAAGUUCCUCCAAUGUAUAGCUGUUGACUGCUCCCCUUCUCUCUAGCCACUAAUCUUACUUUCAACGCGUUCUCCCAAGGACUUCGGUUUGAAAUUAGGUUUUCCUACUUUUGAACAAGAGAUGUACCUUUUUUCUGCACAGGAAUAUUUAAAAAUUUGUAGGCGAACAGAAACAAUUCUUCCCACGAUGAAGGGGUAAAUUCUGUCAUGACAAACAUUUUUCAAUCACUGUAGACAGUUGAGAUGCAAGUAAAAUUCUUAUUCCUUUCGGAAUUCGUUUAAUUAUUUUGGAAGUUAAAUUAAAUAAAAUAAAACGUUCUAAAUAAUAAAUGGGAAAUUCUUUGCAAAAUCUGUUGUGUUGAUUUGUAUACCCAGGACAUUUACCUACUAAAGAGUACAUGUACCAAUGCAUUCUUUUAGUUUAAUUGUAAGUGAUAGCCUGCGAAAGACACUUGUGUGGCUUAAAUACUAUUGGAUUACAAUAUAUUUAUUUCCCACUUAAGCCCCAAAUUCGUUCGUUAAUGCUAAAUUCCGAUUUAUUUCGUCGGCAUUACCUUGUAACUUUAACUCACUAAAUAUCGCUCGCGAUAAAGGAGCAAGGAUAACGGCCUCAUAUUGAGCUCAAGGGUUGAAAUAAUAAAUUUAAUAAAAAAAAUGUUGGUACCGAAUUCAUUUGGUAGUUGUAAUUAUAGGUGGGGAUUAUUUUUAAUAAUAAAACAUCAUCAGGCAGAUGUGCGCUUU